GGACGAACGCUGGCGGCGUGCUUAACACAUGCAAGUCGAGCGGUAAGGCCCUUUCGGGGGUACACGAGCGGCGAACGGGUGAGUAACACGUGGGUGACCUGCCCUCAGCUCUGGGAUAAGCCUGGGAAACCGGGUCUAAUACUGGAUAUGACUCCAUGACGCAUGUUGUGGGGUGGAAAGCCUUGUGCGGCUGAGGAUGGGCCCGCGGCCUAUCAGCUUGUUGGUGGGGUGANGGCCUACCAAGGCGACGACGGGUAGCCGGCCUGAGAGGGCGACCGGCCACACUGGGACUGAGACACGGCCCAGACUCCUACGGGAGGCAGCAGUGGGGAAUCUUGCGCAAUGGGCGAAAGCCUGACGCAGCGACGCCGCGUGAGGGAUGACGGCCUCGGUGUAAC
rnacentral:rRNA from 1 species